rnacentral:tRNA from 1 species
GCCCGGAUGGUCUAGUGGUAAGCUUUAUCCAAUCAAACAUUUCGCCACCUUCAUCGUCUAACAAAUUCAUAGGUAUGAUUCUCGCUUUGGGUGCGAGAGGUCCCGCGUUCGAAUCGCGGUUCGGGCC